UUAAGACCUUAAAAAUGGAGUUUUGGGGUGUUCUAAACCCAGUAGUCGCGACGGGAUUUUCGGCCGUCGCGACUGGAUCUGGCAGUGAGAAAUUCUGUUUUUCUCAAUUUUGUUUUGGCCAUAACUUUUGACUCGGGACUCCGUUUGGGACGUUCUUUAUACCGUUGGAAAGCUCUUUUUGAGCUCUAUGUGAUUAUCUGUAUUUGAAAUGCCAUGAAUUUAUUUUAUGAAUGUGAAAUCAGGGGUUAACCCUAUUUGUGAAAAUCCCGGAUUGUGUGUGGCUAGGAUUACCGGCACCUGGUCAGGAGCACCCGGGGAUUUGGAAUCUCUACUAUUGCGGGACAACAGGAAAGGGUAAGGCAUUAGCUGAUCAGCCAUGAGUUUCAGGAGCAGGGCGAAGAAUGUACAUGUUCAUGCCACUUCAGACCAAGCGGGUUAUGGGUCUAACAGUGUUGACUUUUGUAUUCUGUUUUGCCGCUUAGGUCGGCUAGUAAGAAAGAACUUGUAAUAAUUUUGUAAAUAUUUUUGGGAUCCCAACUAUGUUUGAAAAAGUUUAAAUAUAUUACAAGUUUAUUUUCA